CUUAAAUUGAAGAGUUUGAUCAUGGCUCAGAUUGAACGCUGGCGGCAGGCGUAACACAUGCAAGUCGAGCGGAAACGAGUUAUCAGAACC
rnacentral:rRNA from 1 species